UUUUUCCCCUAAAAGAUAAUGCCUUCUCAGAGAGUCCAGAAAAUGAUUAGUCUCUGGUGGCACAGAAUCAUCAAUAUGACUAUCAAUUAUCUUGCUCUAUUAGAACAUGAGAAAUAUUGACUGAGGAAAAGACGGGAGCCCUGUGGAUACUAAGCAGAUGUUCAAUUUCUACCAGCAUGAACUGGAUGGGGAGUUCCUACCAAAGCAACAGGACAUUCUGGGAACCAAAAGGAAGAGGCUGCUGAAAUUCAAACACCAAGGAAAAGGAGACCCAAAGGUGAAAUCUGAGUCACAGAUCCAGGUCUAGGGCUAAGUGGAGUCAGGCUGAGUGGAAGAUGAAUGGAUGGGACAAAGGGACAGGAUGAAAGGCUGGCUCUAUGUGGGUGCUGCUGGUAACCGACUGACAAGCGCCAGUGGUCAGUGGUCUGGCCAGUGGCAAAACCACCUUUCCAGGCACAGAGGGAUGUCUGCUCCUCCCCUCAAAGGUCACAAAUGCAACAUUUUGGGAGAUGUUUUGCCUGCCAAGUUUGGUUAUCUCCUCUCCCCUGCUAUCAGGAGGUGAGUUGCAUUACUGUUCAAGUAUCAAUCUUUCCCUUCCUCAAGUCAGCUGAGUUUGGAAACCAAAUAAAAUUUAAAAGCCUCAGAGAACUAAAACUUAAAAUACCAAGUUUCACAUAAGCUCUGAAGGACACAGUUCACAUUCUGAACCCAUACUUGGG
rnacentral:lncRNA from 1 species